rnacentral:rRNA from 1 species
GAGGAAUAUUGGUCAAUGGACGGAAGUCUGAACCAGCCAAGUAGCGUGCAGGAUGACGGCCCUAUGGGUUGUAAACUGCUUUUGUAUGGGGAUAAAGUUAGGGACGUGUCCCUAUUUGCAGGUACCAUACGGAUAAGGACCGGCUAAUUCCGUGCCAGCAGCCGCGGUAAUACGGAAGGUCCAGGCGUUAUCCGGAUUUAUUGGGUUUAAAGGGAGCGUAGGCUGGAGAUUAAGUGUGUUGUGAAAUGUAGACGCUCAACGUCUGAAUUGCAGCGCAUACUGGUUUCCUUGAGUACGCACAACGUUGGCGGAAUUCGUCGUGUAGCGGUGAAAUGCUUAGAUAUGACGAAGAACUCCGAUUGCGAAGGCAGCUGACGGGAGCGCAACUGACGCUGAAGCUCGAAGGUGCGGGUAUCGAACAGGAUUAGAUACCCUGGUAGUCCGCACAGUAAACGAUGGAUGCCCGCUGUUGGUACCUGGUAUCAGCGGCUAAGCGAAAGCAUUAAGCAUCCCACCUGGGGAGUACGCCGGCAACGGUG